AGAAGUGAGGGUGAUCUGGCUGCAAUAUCUGUCACCCCGUUGAUCGCCAGGGUUGACUGGGCUGAUCUAGCUGGCUAGGCGGGUGUCCCAUUCGUCCCUCACCGCUCCAUGUGCGUCCGCCCCAAAGCUGCAUGCUCGGUCGAAAAUGACAACAUCCCCGAUAGAGGAGGCUCAUUCUUCGGUCAAGGGUAUAGGAGUAGCUGUGCUCCCCUGCUAGAACCUCCAAACAAGCUUUCAGAAUUGUAUGCUUUUUCUUCUUCUAAUUGCUGUUGGUUUAAUUUGCAUGUCCCCAGACACUGAACCUAAGAGGAUGCAGGAACCAUUUUUCCUUUCCU
ensembl:misc_RNA 7SK 7SK RNA